GUCACGUUUAGAGUGAACUUCUUUUAACCAUAAGGAGUAUCAAUUUUGUAUGAUAUACGUCAUUAUCCACGUUUAUAAGGACAAAAGCGUACGCAAAUCCCAGAGUACAAAACCGUACAGUGAUACCGCUAGCAAAUCCCUCAUACACAACGGCGGAAAUAUUUGAAAAGAGUCGUGUCCUGCAACAAAAAUGGUGUCCUAUCCAAGAAUUCAUAAGUGGGGGAACUGUGGAUGGAGCCAGUCUUAACCUGUGGACUAGAUGGAGGCCAGAUUCAUGCUGCAGCUAUAACUUAUGCCCAGGGAAAGAACGUCCUAUACCCACUGAAUGGGCCCCCAGAGCCAGUGUGGACAUGUACCACCACAGAUAAAAUGUGACUAAGUAACUUAGAGCAGCUACACGUCAGUUGUGAGACAACAGCUAUUAUUUGAAGGAUACUAUAGUUUGGCAUAUGAUGCCAUGCAGUCUAGCAUUUCACCUACAUCUUGGAGAAACAUAAUGCCUCCAUCUUCAUUGAUGAAAAAUAAGCCAUGUAAACAAUAAACAAGAUGAAAGCAGCUUACUAAGUUUGUAAAAUGUGGUUUAUUCCAUUGUAUAGAAGCAAUGGGUCUCACUUUCUCAAAGAUCACUUGUUCCCUAUGUAAGAAGUCAGUAUUACAAUGUUAAGUAUCACUAUUAUUAGAAACCCUAUAUUCUUCAUAUGCUAAAACCAUAGUUCCAGUUUUGAAUUGUAAA